UUGGAGUUUGGGUGCAACGCCUGGAGACGCAACAUCAAUCUUGCAACCAGAAAUACAUAUAUGACAUAUAUUGUAUAAUACCAGAUAAUGCUAUUUAUAUACAGUAAGAAGUGAAUGGUGCCACUGCCUGACGCUGUGCAAUGUGCAGUAUAUGUGGCCAUACUCAGAAGCCCUAAAAAGAAGGAUGAAGAUGCAGGAAGACAGAAGGGCUCUGGGUAUAAGCCCUAGACUGACUUCUUGCUGUGUGAGAAAAAAAUACCCCUUGCCUGUUUAAAUCAUCUUUUCUUGGUUUCUGUUACUUGCAGUUGAGCAUAAUCCUGACUUACAUCCCUCUUCUUCUUUCCUCUACAGGUAGCAAAAUAUUGGCGUGUAGCGCUACUCAAAACAUAGAAAGCAGAAAUAAAUCAAUUCUGCCUGGAGGACCUCCUCCAUCUCAACACCCAGUGGUUUUGACAGAAUUGAUAUAGAAAUAGAAACUUCAAGAUCCACAUCUGUGCUUUUCCAUCCCUGCCCUGGUGCUGGAAUGCUAACCUGUACAGACUGCAUAGUUCCUCUUGCUCUCCAGCUUCUAGAUGGAUUCAACCACUGGCAGGCAUCAGCAGAAGUCAGAGAAGAGGGUAAAAUGCAGUCCGGGUGUUUAGUCUGCUAACUCCCUGCCAAGUCACCGUGGAUGUUCACAGUAAAGCUGCUACGGGGAUAAUGAAUUGCAGAGGGGCAAGAAUGGAAUAAGGGAUGUAGCUUUACAUGUUGGAAAGAGUCCACGAUAGAAUAAACAGGGAAGGUAAGUGAGAAUAAACCUUGAAAGCCAAGCACAAUAUAAAUUAUCAAAAAGAAGGAAGCCUCCCCUUCAGGUGGCAUAUUUACCUUAAUCAAAUACCCUCAAAGUAGAUAUUAAAAAUCAUCAGAGCAAAUUUGCAGAAGCAGCCUAGUUUGUCAAAAUGAGCAUUGGCUUUAGAGUGCAACAUGCUCAGGUUUGAAUCCUGGUCUUGCUACUUACUAGUUAGUUUCCUGAUUUGUAAAGCGAAGACCUUGACCUUUAGCCCUUGGAGUUUUGAUGAGAAGUUGCAUAAUCCACAUAAAGCAUUAUAUUGCAAUACCCAAGUUGCAGUAAGCUCAACACAUAAGGUUUCAUUAAGAUAUACAAGAGAGAAUUUACAAGCAGAAAGCAUACACCAUUUAUGUGUCAUUUAACUGAAAUGACCACAGCUAACUGAUUCUCUUUUCGGAGAUUUCCAAAACACAUACGGUCCCUGUAAAGAAAGUUGGCCGCACUUGGAAAACGCGGGCCAGCUUCGCUCAAGCUCCUGGGAAAACUGCUCCAAGCCAAAGCCAAAAAUAAUCCCAUUAGUCACAUUCGAAGUGCUAAGCGGAAACAAAAAGAAAUCAAAAUUAAUUUCAAUACUUACAGUGACAGCAGCAAUUAAGGUGACAAGAUUAUGGAAAUCAUCACCAUCACCGGAGAUCUUUGCCUAAGGGAGAAAAAUAACCAGUAAUAUAAAGGACUAAGAAACAGAGGAGUUCUGUUCACAACAAAUGAACCACCAGCCCUCAGAGGAUUUCAAAUGGGCAUUGCUCCAUGCGGUAAUAAUGUAUUCUGUACUCAUUAUGUAUCAACAUCUUUAAGCAAUUACCUCUAGUACUCACAUCAUCUCUAUAAGAAGUAUUAUUGUUCUCAUCUGUGAUUCAAGAAACUGAGUCACAGAAAGGUUAAACGAAUUAUUCAAGUUCACGUUGAUGAAAAGUAUCAGAACCUUGAUCUAAGGUCUUCCUCAGUUGGGACCCCACUUCCAUCCCACUGCCCUAUCUUUGUAGAUAACAGCCUCAGGCUCCA